UUCUCAAUUAUUUUCUGUCAUGCCCCCCCUAGGAAGAAGUAAACAUUUCGCGCCCCCCCAACUCUCCGCCGCGACUGUAAAUAGUAUAAUUUGUCUAUAAAAUUACACAUCUGCAAAACAUUGUAUCCUUAUUAACAUUAAAGAAAACACACAAAAAAAGAAAUAUCAAUCAACUUACAACAAAGAAUAACUUUAUUAACAUUGUUUUUUAGUCUGUAACAGAAAAGACUUAAAAUGCAUCAAUUUGCCUGAAAUAAAAAAAUCAAUCCUUAUUUAAAGUAUAAUAUUUUUGACCAUUUGAUACUGAAAAAUUAAAUGAAAUAUAAUCAAUAAAUAAUAAUAAAAAACUCAAGCGGCUUAUCAGCGUGAUUGGGGUGUAAUGUCUUUAAGUGACGGUGCAAAAAAAAUCACUUUCUGAAAAAGUAUUUUCCCCGGGGUCUCGCGCGCCCCCCCUGGUGUCGCUUCGAGCCCCCCCUGGGGGUCCCGCCCCACUAUUUGAGAAGCACUGGGCUAAUGUAACAGUGGUGUAGCUGACCUUCCUGAAUCUAAAAUUAAACAUGAAUGAAAUACUUUUAAUUAUAUUUGCCACUUUGCCAUAUGUUCAUGGCAUCACACUGACCUCGUCUCCUGCACAGAUGAAAACUCCUGGUGAAUCAGUGAGGUUGUCCUGUCAGAUCUCUGGUUAUGCUCUCAGUGAUUACGGCACAGCAUGGAUCAGACAGCCUCCUGGAAAAGCCAUGCAGUGGAUUGGGAUCAUAUGGGGUGGUGGAUCAAUAAACUAUGGAGAUUCCUUCAAGAGUCGGUUCACUAUUUCCAGAGACAACUAAUCGUAAUGAGCUGUAUUUAGAUAUCAGCAGUCUGCAGACUGGGAACACAGCUG